GAGUUUGAUCUUGGCUCAGAUUGAACGCUGGCGGCAUGCCUUACACAUGCAAGUCGAACGGCAGCACGGGAGCUUGCUCCUGGUGACGAGUGGCGAACGGGUGAGUAAUGCAUCGGAACGUAUCCUGGAGUGGGGGAUAACGUAGCGAAAGUUACGCUAAUACCGCAUAUUCUGUGAGCAGGAAAGCGGGGGACCUUCGGGCCUCGCGCUCUUGGAGCGGCCGAUGUCGGAUUAGCUAGUUGGUGAGGUAAAGGCUCACCAAGGCGACGAUCCGUAGCAGGUCUGAGAGGAUGAUCUGCCACACUGGAACUGAGACACGGUCCAGACUCCUACGGGAGGCAGCAGUGGGAAUUUUGGACAAUGGGGGCAACCCUGAUCCAGCCAUGCCGCGUGAGUGAAGAAGGCCUCGG
rnacentral:rRNA from 1 species